GGCCAGUGAGUGGGAUGGAGCGCGGUCCGCGACCGCCCCCGGCUCGUUUCGGCCCCGCCGCCCGCCCGCCUGUGUCUCCGCCGGCCGGGCCGGGGCGGCGGCCGGAGCCCCGAGUGCCGGCUCCCCUCCCCCGUGGCCCCAGACUGACCUCUGACCCCAGCACCGGACUUGACUGCUACCAAAGCCCCCAGCCGUACACUGACUGUCCUAUGCAACCCAGCCAGGCCCAGACCCAGUGAGUGGCCUCUUGAAUGCCUUGGAGGUGCAGUUGGCUCCCUGUCACCUGUCCCCUCUGCCCCAGCCCCAACCAGCUGCCUGUCAAUGGCUGGUGGUAUAUGAGGGUGAGGCUGGGAUGUGUGGGACCCUUGGCAUGAGGGGUGUCCUCUGGCAGCCCUGCCCAUGCCAGCCCGAGCUGGAGGGCAGUACCCAACAGGUGCCCGGGCUUAGAGGCGAGGUGAUGUAGGACACACCCUGUCCGCUCGCCCACGCACCCUGCCCGGGCCAGCCGGUGCGCAUGUGUUCACAUGCCACCGUCCUGGGAAGGCAUGGGCCCUAGGGCCUGGUGCCAGCUCUGUCCUAGCGCCCAGGGGGCACCCAUUGCCCUCUGUCCUUGCAGGAUGUCCUCUGGGAGCUCCCUCAAGACCCCAACGGGCAAGUCUUGUCUGUGGGCCUGGAGGGGGCCCUAAAAUAGCUGCUAGCCUGGCUCGGGGCUGGCACGCGGAGCACAUGCGUGACAGGGCGUGUCCGGGGGGUCGGGCCUGUCUGUGCUGGCCAAGCCUCUGAGUCUCGCAGACCCUUGCUCACUGGAAAGAAACAGCAGAGGCGGAUGCUCCAGGGGUCCUCCCCGGGACCCCCCUACCAAGCCCUGCCUGUUGUAAGUGGAGGCCAGAUGUUCUGUGCAGGCCGCAGCUGUGGGGCAAACCCCUGACCCAUUUGCAGUCACAGGGUCACUGCCCCAUGGGUGCAGUGGGAUGACCUGUUCUCUGGGGGCCCAGGUGAUGCUUUGAUACACCGUAAGGCAUUUUUCACAGUUUGCCCUUCACUUUGGGAGGCUGGGUGGGGGAGUCUGUUCGAAGUGAAGGACACCGCAAGGAACCUUGGGCGGUCUGAAGAAAACUCCUUCCGGCCCCUCUCUGGGCUGGCUGGCUGGCCCUUUCCCACUUUGGAUACACUUUAUGCCAGGAUCAGGCCUGGCUUUUCCUUAGACUUCCCGCAUGACCUUGGGCCUGGUUCUGAAUCCUCUGGGCCUCAGUUUCUCCAUCUGUAUAUGGGAAGCAUUGGGAAAAACGAGCGGAGGGAAGUGUGUGCUUCCCUUCCCUGUCCUGGGCCCUCACUUUCAGAUCACUUGGAGGGCACUCUGGCCACCUUCCCUCCUGCCAUUGGGUGUCCUGUGUGAACACGGAGGUGUGCCUGGGGAAAGGCCGGUCCCCCGGGAAGGACGUACUGGGAAGCCAGUGGGUGUGGGUGUGUGAGAAUCCUUGGGCAGAGAAGGACACCGCCAUGCUGGGCACAGCUGAGUCAUGCUGCAGCGGCGCCUUGCCCCAGGGUGCUGGAGCUGGCGCCACCCUGGGUGUGGUCACUGAGCUGUGGCCCUGGGCAGAGCAGGCCUGGGUGGUCUGGGAUGGGGUCCUGGAUGGUGAGGGGCCAGGGAACUGACUUCUGAGAUGCUAAAGCCCCUUGGCCUCCCUCUGGCCUUGGUCAGGCGUCAUCGUCCAGGACCAUGGUCACCCACACCCUGAGAAUACCUUGGGGAGCCAAGGAAUCCUGACCUUUGGGCCUGGGAAUUGUCGGGGUGCUAUAGGAGGGGGACAGGGCCUGGAAGCCAGCAACUGCCUUCGAGGCCAUUGGCCCCCAAAAGGCAGGCCAGGAGGCCAGGACAAGGAUAAGGCAGAGAUGGACAUGGCAGUAGGGUGUACCCCUCAGUAAAGGGCCCAAAGUGUGGAUAUUAGGGGUCCCCUGGGAAUUCUGUGACUGGUCUGAGGGGGAUUAACGUUGAAGGCAGGGGUUGGAGCGUGGCGUGGCUGGGCACCAUGGGGGCUGGGAUGUGACUUGCAUGGUUCCCCUAUUUAUAACAAGUGAUUCAGUCCUCACUUACUCACCCCUUCCUGAGCCUGCCCCCCUCCCCCGAGCCCUGGGUGGGCAGCGGGGCCCACCCACUUACCAGUGCCCUGCCUCCCUCCAGCCGGGCGCCAACCUCUGAGGGCUGCCCAUCGGGCCGGUUGUUAUGGUGGCCACGUUGGGCUGGGGGUGAGGGGUGGGGGGCGGGUGGUCAGGCGGCACUUGGCUGGGCAGCCCAGGUUAGCGGCUGGCUCGGCGCCUGGCCUAGGGAGCCUCUGCGGAGAGUCUGGGCCCAUUAGGCAAAGCGUUAGUGACAGGCUGGGAGGGCGGGCAGCAGCAGCGGGCAGGGCGGGGCCUGCAGCCCUUGGUAUUUUCCGAUCCCAGCUGCUCUGAGAGGGUGGAAAGUAUUUGGGGACCAGGCUUGGGGGCGGUGGUGGUGGCGCCCCCGGCGGAAGCUGCCCCUGAUUCAUUCUUGGAGCAUGGGGUUGGGGGGGGCAGGCAUUACAGAGUAUGUCUCACGAGUCCACGCCCUGUCUGCAGAGCGUACUCAGACAUACAUCCAUACAUCCAUCCAUCCAUCGGUGUGGCCUGGGGCCUGCUGUGCUCCCUGGGCCCAGGGCCCUUCCUCCCCACAAUGCCUCCAGCUGCCAGGAGCUUGGCCCUCCUUGGACACCAUCUCCCCAGAGCCUGAGAGACACGCCUAUGGUAACGGGGGCCCUGCUUCUGGGCACCUGCAUGACGGUGCCCCCUCCACUCGAGAACCAGGCCUUUUGCGCCUGCGGGGAUGGGGAGUGGCCUUGGCCCCGGCCCGGGGCUCUGUGCAGGGGAAACCCCACAGGAAACGGGCCUGGCCAAAUGGCCGCCCUUCCCGUUCUCGUCCCUGGGACACGAAUGUGCUGUCUCACUUCCGGAGGCGGCCCAGGGAGGCCGGCCGCCCUGCGGGGCCUUGUCUGCUCCUGGUUGGUGCCCCUAAACCUUGAGGGAACAGGGCUGGGCUAGGGCCCGACCGUAAAGCGGGUGGCCGGUGUGUAUGUAUGUGUGUAUGUAGGAGGCACAGAGCAGGACACCUCACUCCACCUGUCUCCCAGUGGUGGUCACCACCUACCAGAUCUGGACGCUGGGGUCCUACCCGUGUGCAGCGUCUUCUGUGCCAUCAUCCUUCCUGUUUAUGCCUGGUGAAUGGUGACAGAGUAGCCCCAUCCUAAUUAUACACAGCACUCGCGGGAUCCUUACCAUGACAUUAUCCCUGCUUUGCCGAUGGGGAGACGGAGGCCCAGAGAGACUGAGUGACUUGAGAGUCACCCAGCUGGGAAGCUGCAGAGCCAGGGUUCAUAUGCAGCUGGACUGGCUCCAGAGUUGGAUCUCCUAGCCGCAGGGCUCUCAUCACACGGGAGGUCUCUGUUUACUGAACACAGGGCGGGCUUCAUGGGCAUGUGACCUGUGCCGUUCACAGGGUCACCCGCUACUGAGAAGGACCUGGAGCUUGGGUUCAUGCUCUGCUGUCGUCUUGAAAUUCUUAAUUUGUGAACAAGGGGCCCCAAGUUUUCAUUUUGCACUGAGUCCCACAAAUUCUAUAGGUGGUCUUGGUGCCAGGUACUUGCUAGGCAGCACUCUUGGUGGAACCUCACCAUGCUAUGUGGUAGAGACUCUUGGCUCCAUUUUACAGAUGGGGAGACUGAGGCUUGGAGGGCAUUUGGGAAACUGCCGAGCUGGAAUUUGCACCUCGAGCCUGGGUCCGGUGCUCUGGGGGCAUGCGUGCCUCGGGGGAGACCUGGGCGCCCGCUGCCAGCAUCCGCUCACUCGGGUGGGGUGCGGGCUGAGGCCUGACCACCAAGGAGACAGGGCCACGCGGGGUGGCCCUGGUGGUUUCCUCCUGCCCUUCAGGCUUCUAGGAAGUGGCGCCAGCUGGGGUGAGAUCACUUCCUCACCCUCCUGCCCGCCACCCCCUCAGCUUCCUCUCCCCAUGGCCCCAGUUAGCCUGCCCAGGGCUCAGUGGUGGGGGUGGUGAAGAAAGGGAGGGGGGACCUGGCUCUGGGAGCUCCUGCAGCCUCCUUGGCUGAAAGUGACCCUCUGGGUAUCUCUGCCUCUCUGGGCCUGGGAGGCAUGGCUGGGGCUGGGGGUAUCCAGCCUGGUGGUCUAGCUCUCUUUAGUUGCUGCUGCACGUGGGGAAAAAGGGCUUCCCUGCAAGACCCCAAAGGAUGGCAGCAAGUGGGGACCUGGAGGGCAGAUGUCCUCAAAUCUCAUUACCUCCUUUUGUCUCUCCUAGGUGCCAGCUGCUGGCCCUGCCCGGUGCCCCCCCACCCCUGUGCCAUGGCCGGCUGGGGUUCCUGGGGAUGGGAUUUGCUGCCUGUCACAAAUCACAUUGCCAGGGAUUUCCAACCGACCCUGAGCCCUGCCUCUGGGGCCACCGCUGUCACUGCUUCCGCUGAGGACACCGACCCAGGGAUGGGGACGGGGUGGCAGAGAGGCCUCCACCGCCUGCGUCUGGCCUGGGGAGCAGGGCUUAGCUGCUUGUGAGCAGGUCCACAGCAAGUCGUGUUCACAGUGGCUAAGUUCCGCCCCCCGGGGCCCCGCCUCCUCUGGCCCUGCCACCUCUCCCCUCCGCCUGCCUGUCCGACCUCCGGGCCUCCCUGGGCUCUGCCUCCCGUGCCUACUGAGCUGAAACACAGUUGAUUUGUGCAGACUGGCUCAGUUCAGCAGGAACAGGAGUCAAGCCCCCUUGGAGUCUUCGGCCCCUGCCUUCCUUGGGUGGGCCAUUCGCCUCCUGUGAGAAGAGAUGAGGACCCUGCCCUGGACCUGUGUCUGGAGGAGGAACCUGGGGACGAGUGGAGCCUGGGAUGGGAUGGGUCAACCCAGCUGUCUGCUGCAGGCCCCCUCCUCCAGUUCUGCACUUGGGGACCCUCACACAGUCCCAUCUCAGGCUGGGCUGUGUUCCCAGGGAGGAUGGAUAGGCAGGCGGGUGGCCAGCCUUUCCAUGAAAAAAGGAAGCCAGCUGUGUCCCCGCCUGGCCGACCCUCGGCCCCUCCUCUCCCAAGCUUGGUUGGGGGAUGGCUGGCUCGCAUCUUCCCAGCAGUCAGUUACCCAAGAGGAAGCUGCCUUGGGCCCCCAGACCGUUAAAUGCCAACUCCAGGCUUCCGGAACCAGGCUGGCCUGACCUGAACCUGCCUGGCCCCUUCUCCCUGGGCCUGCGGCUUCCUAACUUGGGGAGGAGGAGCCAUGACACCCUCCUGGCACGUGGGGCAGGGAAUGAGGUCCCUGUGGGCCCAAAGGACACAAACAGGCCCGCUCAGUCCUUGGGUGGUCCCAGGGCAUGGGCGCAUUGAGACUUUGUCCAUCAUCAGAUGGAAUGGGGCUCUUUUGGGGGUGAGACUGGGGAGGCAGUGUGAAGCCCCCCCCCCGAGUUGUCUCAGUGUACCCCUGUCCCACUGGGGCAGGGGCAGACAGCAGCUUGGGCAAGUCUAUGCUGUGUGUCGAGCCUGUUGUCCAAUUAAAUAAAAGCUGCCCCCUGCCUCAUUCCUGAA